GGGGCCGACCUGGUUUCGACGUGGGUUACAAAGCAGUGGAGGGCAUACCGAGGACCCGUCACCUCGUUAAUCAAUGGGAAUGCAAUAACUGCUAACGACGAACGUUACGCACUGGCAGCCUAAGGGCCG
rnacentral:tmRNA from 1 species